CCGCCCUACGGGGCGCAGCAGUCGGGAAUAUUGCGCAAUGGAGGAAACUCUGACGCAGUGACGCCGCGUAUGGGAAGAAGGUUUUCGGAUUGUAAACCAUUGUCGUUAGGGAAGAAGAAGUGACAGUACCUAAGGAGGAAGCUCAGGCUAACUAUAUGCCAGCAGCCGCGGUAAUACAUAGGGAGCGAGCGUUAUCCGGAUUUACUGGGUGUAAAGGGAGCGUAGACGGCAAUACAAGUCGGAAGUGAAAUACCCGGGCUCAACCUGGGAACUGCUUUGGAAACUGUAUGGCUGGAGGGCUGGAG
rnacentral:rRNA from 1 species